AGUGAACGCUGGCGGUAGGCCUAACACAUGCAAGUCGAACGGCAGCACAGUAAGAGCUUGCUCUUACGGGUGGCGAGUGGCGGACGGGUGAGGAAUACAUCGGAAUCUACUUUUUCGUGGGGGAUAACGUAGGGAAACUUACGCUAAUACCGCAUACGACCUACGGGUGAAAGCAGGGGAUAUUCGGACCUUGCGCGAUUGAAUGAGCCGAUGUCGGAUUAGCUAGUUGGCGGGGUAAAGGCCCACCAAGGCGACGAUCGGUAGCUGGUCUGAGAGGAUGAUCAGCCACACUGGAACUGAGACACGGUCCAGACUCCUACGGGAGGCAGCAGUGGGGAAUAUUGGACAAUGGGCGCAAGCCUGAUCCAGCCAUACCGCGUGGGUGAAGAAGGCCUUCGGGUUGUAAAGCCCUUUUGUUGGGAAAGAAAAGCAGCAGGUUAAUACCCCGCUGUUCUGACGGUACCCAAAGAAUAAGCACCGGCUAACUUCGUG
rnacentral:rRNA from 1 species